rnacentral:lncRNA from 1 species
UCUCUCCACCUUUUCCCUUGACUUCUGAUGUCAAAUAUCUUGUUUUCAUUUCUUUUUUUUCUAUUCUUUUUAUUAAUUCCAAGAGAAAGACGUAAACAUCAGUACAUAAACAAUGGUUGACAACUUGUAAUAUAAACAACGGAUAGAUCUAUUUAAAUAACGAUUUAAAUUUUCGCGGCAUUGUAACAUUUCUAUUUUAAGACUUCAGGUAUGCGCAUGCGCAGUUGUUUUUGUUGCCAAAGUUUGAAUAUCCGCCAACGAGACCACAAGUGAUUUGUGCAGAGUUUUUAUCAAUAUCUUUCCUCUAUACAGCUUUUACAUUUUUAUCGUAAGUAUUUAUAUUAAUUGUUGUGAUUACGUUAUCGUAUUUUAGAAAUGUGAACAUAUCAUGUUGUUAUGAAACUGUACAGUACUGAAAAGUUGAAAUUUUACACGUGAAAAAGGGGGAUGUUUAGGACAAUCUAUGGAUUGACCUUAGGAUCAGGAUCAGGAUAGCAUGUUACCAUUCCCAAGAUAUCUUGCAACGUCUCAUGAAUUUUUAUCAUUGAAUAUUUGAAAUCAUAUGAUUGAAUCAAAAGUGAAAAGAAAUUUUAAUCGCAUAAAAAGGGGGGCUUGUGUACAAUUUUGGGAUGGAAAGGUCAGAAGCUAUAUAUGACUCACCAAGUUGAACCUUAAAUUUUACUGUCAAAAUUGAGGUAGAGUUGGACAAGGUAAUUAAACAUAAAGGUUAUAUGAGGGUGGUAAAAAGUAAUUUGCAUUUAUGGCCUUUUUAUUUCACGUGUUUUAGCGUUUUAUUUCUCGUAAUUGGUUUCGACAUGCAUUAUUUUUGUUUCCUCUUAUUUAUUUUCCGUGUUUCGUCUGGGUACUCUUUAAUUUCUCGUGCUAGUCCAACAUUCAAGAUAAAAAAAAAAGUAAACCAGGACUAAAUUCGAAGUCCAGUCAGGAGAUUGUUUUAAAUUAUGUGUUCCCAGGAUAUUAAUUGCGAUCAAGUUAUAUUUUCCACGAUUCGGAUGCAACAAGCGGAAGCGAAAAGGUGACUGCAGGGUCUUCGUGUCCAUUAUCAUGACUGUGUGAUCUCCAAUAACGACUGAGUAUUAACCUCUAGUACUUUUUUCCUUAAUAAUAUUCAUGAUUUAAUUUUUCGUGCUUCCUUUAUCCAAAUUUUUAUUUUCAGUGCAGUGGGUUUUUUUUUAUUUUUAUAUCACAUGUUUCCGUGUUAAGAACCCCCUUUACCAUCCUCGAAUAUGUCAAUUAGUCAGAUAUCCAUGCCGCAGCACAAGUAAUACAGAAAAAGACAUAAGUGGAUAAACCUUAAAUUUGUUCAAAUUAAAAUGUAGUAGUUAGGCUUUUCUUGCAGAUUAUACCUAAGUCCUUCUUGUCUAUCUAAAAGGAAAUGUAGUUGAGACUUCAAAGGACAACUGUUAUUUACUUUAGUUUUCAUCGGUUCUUAUGCUUUUUAUUUAUACUUUAAAGUAAUAUCAUUAUGAAGUUAAAAUAGUUAAAUGUGUUGAACAGAAUACAACUUUACAAUGUUAUAACUUUUGAUUUUGUAGAUGUCAUCAUGAAGACCUAGAUGGAAUCACGGAACAGCAAUUCAAGUGUCUGAAAAAACAAUAAACUUUCUAAAACGGGCUCAAAAAAGACAAGGUGUGAGAAAAAAGAAGUUGAAGUUUCACUAUUAAUAAAUAAAUUUAUUUUAAUUUUAUCGUAUUGAAUAUUUCUCUAUAAUCAGUGGUUGGACAUUAGAAUACAUAGGAUAGGAAGUGUCCGAACAGCAAACUUUGUUUUAUAUUUUGACCACUCAGAUAUUUCAAAUAGACAUUGAGCAAAAUUUGUGUAUUAAGGGUUGUGCGCUUUCGAAAUCAA